UUUCACUCUGGCAUCUUCUCCUGCUGGCGAUGGAUCCGCUGAUCUUUCUGAUCUCGCUUGUGAUCCUCCCGCCGCCGCUCGACGCCGGCGGCCAGAAGAACUUCCUGUUCUACGGUGGAUCGCUGGUCGUCUCACCGGAGGGAAACCGGAGCCACGAGGUGGAGGUCCGCAGCCGGCAGGCGACGGUCCAUUGCCACGUGAACCGCUUCUCCUGCCAGUCGGGCGCCUGUGGAUCCGUGGCGGCGGCCAGCGCGGGAAAGAUUGGCGGCGACUCGUUCGGUCUGACCUGGUGCCUGCAGGAAUUCCGGUCCCGGCUGAGGCUCGGCGGUGGUGGCGGCACAGCGCUGGAGAUCCGCUUCCCCACCGCUGUCAGCGCCGCCGACGGCAGCGGUUACUGGAUCCCCAACACCAGGAGCUCCUCCGCCGCCUGGAGGAUGAAGGCUCGCCUGGAUCUGGGGAUCCGGUCCGACACCGGGGAACCGAACAGGCCGCCCGUCACGACCAUCCCGCCCAUCCUCAGAACGCCGAGGAACUGCGGCCGGACGUUCAGACUGACGGUGUUCGACGCCGACGGCGACCGGGUCCGCUGCCGGGUUCCCACGGAGGACGGGGGCUGGGAGUGUGGACUGUGUGGUCUCCCCGGAGGAUUCUCCCUGGACCAGGGCUCCUGCUCUGUGACCUACAGCUACGACGGUCUGACCGGGUUCCACGCCAUCGAGCUGGUUCUGGAGGACUUCCCACCCCGACCCGUCCACCUGUCGUCCCCAGAUGGGGCGGGGCGCCAGCGGCCGGACAUCCAGCAGGGGGCGCCAGCUCCUCUCAGCACGCUGCCGCUGCAAUUCACCGUCCUUGUGGACUCCCACGAAGCGCCGUCCUGUCUCCAUGGCGACUACUCCCCCGUCUUCUUGGCGCCGACUCCGGCCAAUCGGGCAAAUCUCCCGGCGUUUGUGAACCGGACCCUGGAGUUGGAGGUCCGGGCGGCGGCGCAGUACACCACGAUCCGGGACCUGAUCGUUUCCGGACCGGCAGGGAUCUCCAGGCGCUCCGUCGCCACGGGGAUUCACAUCAUCAGAUGGACACCUGCAGAGCGCCACCUGCUGGAGCACAUCCCCGUCUGCUUCAUAUCUGAGGCCAGAGACGCGUAUAACCGGGUCUACCAGUCGGAGCCGCGCUGCGUCACCGUCCACGUCGGCCAUCACGAGGCGGUGGUGUCCUGCAACCAGACCAGCAUGACGGUGGAGCUGGAGAGGACCUACUUCGUCCGGCGGACCGAGGACAGCCUGCGUCUCCAGGACUCCGGGGACGCGUCCUGCAGCCUGAAGAGCCGGUCCAACGCCACGCACCUGGUGGCCGUGCUGUCCCUCGGCGCCUGCGGGACGCACGUCGAGGAGGAUGAAGACACCAUCGUCUUCAGGAACAGGAUCACGUCCUCCGGCUCUGGAGACAUCAUUUCCCGGCACCACGACGUGGACAUCGCCGUUUCCUGCAUCUACCCGAAGAAAGCCAACCUGACUCUGGGGUUCCGGCACAAGAACCCGUACGCCUUCAGUCAGAGCGGCUUCGGCAGCUUCAGCUUCCAGUUCGAGUUCUUCCAGAGCCAGCUCUUCAGACGGCAGGUGGAGGGCAGCAGCUACCCGGUGGAGGUGUCCCUCAAGCAGAUGGUCUACAUGCAGAUCCAGGCCUCCUCCUCCAUCCCCGACACCCAACUGUUCGUGGAGUCCUGCAGGGCCACGCCCUACGACAACCCCGAGUCCCGCGUCAGCUACACCAUCAUGGAGGACGGGUGGGUGAGCUCAGCGGAGAGACCGGCGUCUCUCUGA
rnacentral:lncRNA from 1 species